rnacentral:tRNA from 1 species
GGGAUUGUAGCUCAGUGGUAGAGCACAUGCCUGGCAUGUGAGAGACACUGGGUUCAAUCCUC